AUACUUUCCCACAUUGGAGAUACACAUAUAUACUAACCCCCUAGGUUAGUGACCUCCAUUGCACUCAGGAGGGGCACUCGCCUAAGAUAUCUCCAAGUGGGAUAGUCUACUUCAUAAUUUGUUGCUGAGGGGGUACGCGUUAGUGUGGCCCCUGC